UCACUAUAGUCUAGAUGAGAAGUCAAAUAGAAAGGUCAGAGGUCAAAUGUGGUAUUAAAUCCUAAUGUGGUACAUUCUUAUGUUGACAAUACACACCAUACUUUUAAGAAUCCAAGGUAUAAGAUAAAUUAUAAGGCUUUUUAUAAGGUGUUUCUCUAUGAAAAUAGUUAAGAUCAUCAUGCAAAUACAUAGGAAGGCUCUUCUUUGUAUCUGCCAACAGAGGCGUUAUGGUCACACUCCUUAAAGCAAGAGGUUCAGGUGCUAUUCUUUUUUUUUUUAAUCUUGAAAGCACCAGUUUCCGAAUCAGCACCCUAAGUAGAAUGAUCAAACUUUCAAUAACGAAAGAAAUUAAAGCGUCUGUCUGAUAUAAUCUGUAGCAGACAAUGAUUUCCAUGCGUAUAUGGUGCAAUUCCCGGGUCUAUCAUCAAGUAACAACAAGUCUUUGAGGGUAAGACAUGACAGUAACAGUAGAUGGAAAACAUGAAACCGCAUUCUGUUUAUUUAAAGAUUUAACUUGUAUGGUCAUCUGUAGGGUGUAGCUGUAGGAACCCCAGAGUGCACCAAGACGCUCCAGUCCUCCAGGUGGAAAGAGUAGUGGAAUAUUUGGUGAACCUGAGCCUGCUGCUCAACCACAGAGACCCAUACCUCCAGGUGGACCAACCAGCAACAUACUUGGGCCUGCAGUCACUGCACCUGCACAAAGUCCAAGCCGAAGCCACCCAAAUAAGCCAAAGGACAAUCUAAGUGUGGGACCUGAACCUGAAUCACCAG